rnacentral:rRNA from 1 species
GAUGAACGCUGGCGGCGUGCUUAACACAUGCAAGUCGAACGGAAAGGCUCCUGCUUGCAGGGGUACUCGAGUGGCGAACGGGUGAGUAACACGUGGGUGAUCUGCCCUGUACUUCGGGAUAAGCUUGGGAAACUGGGUCUAAUACCGGAUAGGACAACUUAUUGGAUAUUGUUGUGGAAAGCUUUUGCGGUAUGGGAUGAGCUCGCGGCCUAUCAGCUUGUUGGUGGGGUAAUGGCCUACCAAGGCGUCGACGGGUAGCCGGCCUGAGAGGGUGUACGGCCACAUUGGGACUGAGAUACGGCCCAGACUCCUACGGGAGGCAGCAGUGGGGAAUAUUGCACAAUGGGCGCAAGCCUGAUGCAGCGACGCCGCGUGGGGGAUGAAGGCCUUCGGGUUGUAAACUCCUUUCGCUAGGGACGAAGCUUUUUUGUGACGGUACCUGGAGAAGAAGCACCGGCUAACUACGUG